rnacentral:tRNA from 1 species
GGGACUGUAGCUUAGUGGUUAAAGCAUUCGCGUCGGCACGCUGAAAGAUUCUGGCGUUCGAUUCCCAGCUUUCCCA